GAAGGCCUACCAAAGCAAAGUUUCAAAAAAAGAAAAACACAUGUGUAAGAAAAAAUGCAGUUAAGCACUUUUCAUUCUGUAAUGAUCCUUCCGUAGGUUGAACCUGCGGAAGGAUCAUUA
rnacentral:rRNA from 1 species